rnacentral:rRNA from 1 species
GAUGAACGCUAGCGGCAGGCUUAAUACAUGCAAGUCGAGGGGCAGCAGGUCCCGCAGCAAUGCGGGAUGCUGGCGACCGGCAAACGGGUGCGGAACACGUACACAACCUUCCUUUAAGCGGGGAAUAGCCCGGGGAAACCCGGAUUAAUACCCCAUAGUAUAUUGAAGAGGCAUCUCUUUAUUAUUAAAGAUUUAUUACUUGAAGAUGGGUGUGCGGCUGAUUAGGUAGUUGGCGGGGAACGGCCCACCAAGCCUACGAUCAGUAACUGGUGUGAGAGCACGACCAGUCACACGGGCACUGAGACACGGGCCCGACUCCUACGGGAGGCAGCAGUAAGGAAUAUUGGUCAAUGGACGAAAGUCUGAACCAGCCAUGCCGCGUGGAGGAUGAAGGUCCUCUGGAUUGUAAACUUCUUUUAUAUGGGACGAAAAAGGGAUUCUUUCUCGUCUGACGGUACCAUAUGAAU